rnacentral:rRNA from 1 species
CAAUAGCGUAUAUUUAAGUUGUUGCAGUUAAAAAGCUCGUAGUUGGAUUUCGGGUUGGCUUCAGCGGUCUCGCUUUGCGUUUGUACUGCUGCAGCCUACCUUCUUGUCGGGGACGGGCCUUCGGGCUUAAUUGCUUGGGGCCCGGAGUCGACGAUGUUACUUUGAGUAAAUUAGAGUGUUCAAAGCAAGCCUACGCUCUGAAUAUAGUAGCAUGGGAUAACACGACAGGACUCUGGCCUAUCGUGUUGGUCUGUAGGACCAGAGUAAUGAUUAAGAGGGACAGUCGGGGGCAUUCGUAUUCCGUUGUCAGAGGUGAAAUUCUUGGAUUUACGGAAGACGAACAUCUGCGAAAGCAUUUGCCAAGGAUGUUUUCAUUGA